rnacentral:tRNA from 1 species
UCUAAAAUGACAGAAUAGUGUAAUGAAUUUAAAAUUCAAAAAUGAAAUUUUUAUUUCUUUUAGAA